rnacentral:tRNA from 1 species
GGGGGUAUAGCUCAGUGGUAGAGCAUUUGACUGCAGAUCAAGAGCUUCCCCAGUUCAACUCUGGGUGCCCCCU